AUGGCCUCAGCGGGCGUGGAGUACAUAGACUUGGUGCAGGCGGAUGCUUGCUUCUACUCGUCUGAGACUGGUGUUAGGAGAGGACCGGACGGCAUCUAUCUCGAUGGCAAGGGAUACAGCCUACAUGAGGAUCAGCCCGCAGUGCUUGUUGGGGGCGCGCUCUACUUCCUCUGCAUCUAUGGCGCCCUGCUGAGGUACGAUGUUCUGGGUACACAUGACCUGUCAGUGAUCAAGCCGCCUCCCGGCAAGUUUCUUGGAAGCAGCACCAUUGUGAUGAGGGCGGAGAACGGUGGGCUUGGAUUGGCCUCCUUUGGUCGUGACGUGCUCCACCUGUGGUCAGCUGAGACGGGUCCUGACGGAGAUGUCAAGUGGGCGCAGAUGAACCACAUCCAUCUCGGGAAGCUGAUGCCUUUCAAGAGCCCAGCACGUUUGAUUGGAUUUGCCGAAGACAUCAAUGCCGUUUUUGUGAGCUCAGAUGACCAUGGCAUCUUCACUGUUGAGCUCAAGUCAUUGCUGACGAAGAAGGUGUGCGAGAUGGGCAAGGUCAAGGAUUUUUUUCCUUACGUCUGCUACUACACUCCAGCUGGUACAACUUCUACAUCCUCAUCUUUGUUUUUAAUUGUGAUGUGUGAGUGUGACUAUUCUGUCAGGCGUCUAGUAAUACUUCUGUUAGUGCAUAAAGUUAAACGAAAUAUUAUAAAAGUAAACCUAGAUUUUAAUUUAGAGACACACGGAAGGCAUAUAUGCCAUUGUGACAACGAAUGCAUGCCUAGUAGAUUGUUUGUCUAG
rnacentral:rRNA from 1 species